rnacentral:rRNA from 1 species
CCUACGGGAGGCAGCAGUGGGGAAUAUUGCACAAUGGGGGAAACCCUGAUGCAGCGAAGCCGCGUGAGUGAAGAAGUAUUUAGGUAUGUAAAGCUCUAUCAGCAGGGAAGAAAUAGCGACCUUUGGGUCGCCAGACGGUACCUGCUUAAGAAGCCCCGGCUAACUACGUGCCAGCAGCCGCGGUAAUACGUAGGGGGCAAGCGUUAUCCGGAUUUACUGGGUGUAAAGGGGGCGUAGACGGCAGCGCAAGUCUGAAGUGAAAUGCCGGGGCUUAACCCCGGAACUGCUUUGGAAACUGUGCAGCUAGAGUGCAGGAGAGGUAAGUGGAAUUCCUGGUGUAGCGGUGAAAUGCGUAGAUAUUAGGAGGAACACCAGUGGCGAAGGCGGCUUACUGGACUGUAACUGACGUUGAGGCUCGAAAGCGUGGGGAGCAAACAGGAUUAGAUACCCUGGUAGUC